rnacentral:rRNA from 1 species
GAAUUUUGGACAAUGGGCGAAAGCCUGAUCCAGCCAUGCCGCGUGAGUGAAGAAGGCCUUCGGGUUGUAAAGCUCUUUCAGCCGGAAAGAAAUCGCGCAGGCUAAUACUCUGCGUGGAUGACGGUACCGGAAGAAGAAGCACCGGCUAACUACGUGCCAGCAGCCGCGGUAAU